CAGUUCGGACUGUGGUCUGCAACUCGACCACACGAAGCUGGAAUCGCUAGUAAUCGCGAAUCAGCAUGUCGCGGUGAAUACGUUCCCGGGUCUUGUACACACCGCCCGUCACACCAUGGGAGUCAGCAACGCCCGAAGUCAGUGACCUAACCGAAAGGGACGGAGCUGCCGAAGGCGGGCCGGUAACUGGGGUGAAGUCGUAACAAGGUAGC
rnacentral:rRNA from 1 species